GCGAUCAUAGUUCAAUGGUAGAACACUGGGUUGUGGUCCCAGUUACGAGGGUUCGAUUCCCUCUGAUCGCC
rnacentral:tRNA from 1 species